UUACGGCCUUAUCAUGUUGAAACACCAGGUUCCUCACAAUCCCCAAAGUUAAGCAACGUCGAGCCUGAUCAGUACCUAGAUGGGUGACUGCUUGGGAAUACCAGAUGCU